AAAGUGGAUCAAGCGGUCGCUCUCUGCCUCAGGCGGAGAGAGGAAAGUCCGGACUCCACAGGACAGGGUGGCCGUUAACGGCGGCCCCGAGCGAUCGGGGGAAAGUGCCACAGAAAAGAUACCGCCUGUCGCUUUUGCUGGCAGGUAAGGGUGAAAAGGCGAGGUAAGAGCUCACCGGUCCGCCAGUGAUGGCGGAUGCCAGGUAAACCCCACCCGGAGCAAGACCAAAUAGGAGGGUUGGGUGGUCCGCCCUUAGCCCUCGGGUGAGGUCGCUAGACCCUGUGAGCAAUCAUAGGGCAAGAUGAAUGAUCGCUAUGGCUCUUUGUAAGGGUCAAGACAAAAUCCGGCUUACCGAUCCACUUUAGCC
rfam:Deltaproteobacteria bacterium RIFCSPLOWO2_12_FTLL_57_22 rifcsplowo2_12_scaffold_8701, whole genome shotgun sequence.